AACGAACGCUGGCGGCAGGCGUAACACAUGCAAGUCGAACGCCCCGCAAGGGGAGUGGCAGACGGGUGAGUAACGCGUGGGAACAUACCCUUUUCUACGGAAUAGCUCUGGGAAACUGGAAUUAAUACCGUAUACGCCCUACGGGGGAAAGAUUUAUCGGGGAAGGAUUGGCCCGCGUUGGAUUAGCUAGUUGGUGGGGUAAAGGCCUACCAAGGCGACGAUCCAUAGCUGGUCUGAGAUGAUGAUCAGCCACAUUGGGACUGAGACACGGCCCAAACUCCUACGGGAGGCAGCAGUGGGGAAUAUUGGACAAUGGGCGCAAGCCUGAUCCAGCCAUGCCGCGUGAGUGAUGAAGGCCUUAGGGUUGUAAAGCUCUUUCACCGAUGAAGAUAAUGACGGUAGUCGGAGAAGAAGCCCCGGCUAACUUCGUGCCAGCAGCCGCCGCGGUAA
rnacentral:rRNA from 1 species